CCAUUUGCAGCCACUCGCCGCUUUGAACUUCGUAAUGGGAAAUCUAGGGCUUCUCUUCUUUUUUUUCUCUACAGCUUGUUUAUGAGAGACCAAGGGUUGAUGGUUCUUAUUCGAGUCGGUGUUUGUGUUAUACGGGUCAGUCGAGUAAACCCGAAUUGACCUGUUUAACAAAUGGGUAAAUUUAGGUUGACCCGUUUAUGACCCAACCCAUGUAAUUCAACUCAUACCCAUUAUAAACGGGUCGGGUUGAUGGGUCGGGUCAUAAAUUGCCACCCCUAACCGUAGCACUCUUAAGCCUAACAGUGGAGGCUUUAAUUUGCACGCAUGAUUGGUUAUAUGAUAUCAAUGGUAGACAAUUACUAAUGUUAUAAUUUUUACAUUUUUUUGCAUUAGAACACAUGUUAUGAAUUUGCUUAUUGGUUUUUUUAUUUUUUUUAUUAAUGAUAGAUGACAUGCAACCAAAAUUAGAUGAGCUUUCCGAGGAUAUCAUGCAAUUAGAUGUUGGAGAAUCUAUGCCAACACAAGAGUGAUAGCAUUUGCUUUCAAGGUCAAAUCGGCAUUAUUGUUGCUGAAAAGUAGCUUUUGCUAUGCCAUUUCUGGUUUGAUGAAGAAUUGGUAAACUUGAAAUUGAAUCUUAUAGGAGUUGUGCAAAUAUUGACUUGCAUUUUGGUAUCUGUUCUAUUUUGGCAAUUGAUAACAAUUUGUACUUGACCUAGAAUAUUAUUUGUUGUGCAAAUAAGAUUUUUUUUUA